ACUUGAUCACAUGUCUUACGAUGGAAUCUAUGUCUCGGUUGGUUCGAAGGUGUACGGGUUUAGCGAUCUCAAUGCGCUCAGCAUUGACUGCACCUCUCACACGGUUCAGCCCAUCUCUCACAUUCCUCAGGUUAUGACUAUUAGAGUUGCUAAUGUCAUCGACAAGAAGGUUUACCUGAUUGGUGGUUCCUAUUUUCCGGUUGGGUCGUGGGACACGUGGAAGAGUGAAGUCACGGUGCUUGACACAGAAACACAAUCAUGGGAGCCUAAGUUGGUAAAGGAAGACAUGCAUGUAGGUCUUGGUCCCCUUAGGUAUGAUUCUGUGGUGAUGGAAGGUAAGGUUUACGUGAAAGGUGGCAGCAAGGACGACUCUUUUGUUUAUGAACCAGAGGAAAGGAAAUGGGAAUUGAUGGACGAGGUGUUGAGUUCUAAGGCCUGGAAGGGUGCAUGUGUGGUUGACAACGUCUUGUACUAUCACGAUUGUCCCGGGAAGGUUCUGAUGGCAUAUGAUCCAAAGCAGAUGUGCUGGAGUGUUGUCAACGGUUUGGAAGAGUUUUUGGCCGUGGAGACUGCCCACUCAAUUUGGUCCGCUGCGGUGAGCUAUGGCGAGAAGAAGUUGGCUCUCUUCUUUCUUAAAAAACAUGACGGCAAAAAUGUCAUUUGCUGUGCAGAGAUUGCUUUGGAAAGGCGCCAAGGAGGAGAUAUUUUGGGUAAGAUGGAGUCGUGUGAUGUUGUGAUUGAGAAUGGGCUGUUUGACAUUGUCGAAUUUGUUUCUGUUACCGUUUGAUUUGAUGCAGCAUAAUAAUAGCAGUAUCUCUAUGUAGAUCCCUUCGUAUUUUAAAGGAAUUAUCCUAAAUGCCAUCUCGUGUGUUCGCAAGUUUGCUAACAUUGUUUAUGCAUGUUAGACAAAACCUUUGAGUGUGUUGUUUUAUGUUGUCGUUUAAAACUUUGGGCUAUGGUCUGUUAAAUUUGCUAUGUUUUAUUCUUGAAUAAUUAUUGCUAUGGUCUGUUAAAUUUUACGAGACAUUUAUGUUUGGUUCCCAUGUUCAACUACGAUGCAAGCAUUUAAUAGAGAUGAAUUAAAGAAAGGGAAACAUAGGAGUUUAAGGUGAAAUAAAAACCUUAAACAAACAUACACUUACCAUAUUGCUCGAUAUAUAUAUUUGUAUAUAUUGUAUCUUUUGAAUGGAAAUGUCGUCUAUUUUAGAAUUUUACAUAUACAUUAAUCAAAUAAACACUUAUGGAUCUUUCACGAAGGAUGUGCAUGCUUUGCUUUACAUGAACUUGAGAAGGAUCGAAGAGAAUGGAGCCACAUUGUAUGUCUCAGCCACACCUUCCUUUACAAAAUCAUCCGGUGACUCGAUCGAGGUUUGUGUCAGCCUAGUGCCAAACAUGACAAUUGAGUCGGUCAUGAAAAGUCAGAGCACCAAAGAUGAUGAAAGAAAGAAACACUUACCACACGGAACCAUUGCUUUGCUUUCCCCACGGUGGCAGUGGAAUAAGAGCCUUGACAAAGUAGUCAUGGGCGUUGAAAGCCGCAUAGACGUCUUGGCCGCUUAUACCAUCAUGGAGCCUACCAAAAACAAUCAUAUACUUAAUAAAUAAUUAGAAGCGACAAUACAAAGAAUGAGACAUCUUUGUCAAUUACGUGAAAGAGCCGUUUAGCUCAAACUCGUUCACAGCAACUUACUCCAAAGAGCCGUUUCAGACUUGGUCUGGUCCUUUGGCUCCCACUGAAGCGCAUGACUCUAAAGCUAAGAGGAUGAAAGAUAUUAACAAGGAGAGAAGAAAGGCUGCUAAGCUUAAAGGGAAAAGAAUCGUUGUUUGAUUUGAUGAGAUUUAUUAUUCACCUCCAAGUUUCAUAAAGUUCCUUUUUGAUAGUUACUUCAAGAAAAAAAAAAGAUAUUUUGUUAUUUUUGGUGGGUUAUAUGUUUCUUAUUUCUUUGAUUUUGUGUAUUGUUGUACAAGAUAUUUGACAAAAAAAAGCAUUUAAAUGAGGGAGAUUACAUUCUAUAAUAUUCUAUGUAAAGUUUUUGUUUUAUUUUUGCUUUUAUUUAUUUUAAAUGUAUAUAGAAAAGUUAUACUCCAAGUCUUUGAUUGGAUAAAGAAAUAAAUCUUAUCUUUUUUAUUGAAACACUGAAGAAAUAAAUAUUCAUAUUAUGUUUUUAUGUGAAGAUUUUGACUAAUUUCUAUGCCUUGAAAAUAAAUAUUUUAAAUUUUAAAUUAUUAAUUAGGAGAAAUUGUUCUUUAUCAAAUUUAGUGAUUUAUAUUUCUUAUUACUGUGCAGUGAUUUCGUAAAAACAAUAUGUACUUAAUUUAAAGAAAAUUAUUACAUUUCAGAUCAAUAUAAUGAUUUAAUCACACUUUCAUAAAAUCAAAUUGAUAAAAGCUUGGAAUAAAUUUGACAACAGAAACUGUCGGAAAGCACACAUUAGUUAUAAAAUUUUUAUUGGGCCUCGCUAUACUUGUAUCUGAUACCAUAUGUAAGCCCAUUAUGGCAUGCAUUUAUCAAUAAAAUUUCAGAUGGUUGGCAAAAAAAUAGUAUAUAAAGUCAUUAUGUAAUUUAUUGUAACAUGUUAGCUUAGAAUAUUUUUCGAAACUAAUCACAUUCUCCCUCCGUUUCACAAAGAUAUACUUUUUAGAAAAAAAAUUGUUUCAAAAAGAUAGUUUUAUACUCCCUCUGUUUUUAAAAGAUGCAUAUUCUAGACUUUUCACAUAUAUUAAGAAAACUCAUUAAAUAUGCAUUGUUUUUUGUGAAUAACAAUUUUUCAUAACUUUUAACCAAUAAAAAUUCAAUAAACACCAUUAAUUUUUUUUUGAAACUUACAAUUUUUCAUAAAAUCAUUCAUUGAAAAAGUAAAAAAUGUAUAUUUUUGAAACAAUUUUUUUUUCCAGAACAUACAUUUUUUAGGAACGGAUGGAAUAUUUUUUAUGAAUUUUUUUUUAUCUUCGAGAAAAUUAAUUUACUUUAUAUCCGAUACCAUAUGUAGUCAGUUUUAAAAUUUUACAUGUAAUCAGUUUUGACGAGACAUAUAUGUUUGGUUCAUGCUCACUUAUGAUGCAAACUAAACGUAAGAUUCGCUAAUGUUGUUGCCCUACUAGACUUAUUGUUGUUGAACCAGUAAUUUAAUAAUACAUAUUUUGCUUUAGUCGUACUAUAAUUAUUUCAAUAGUACCUAAAAUUUUUAAAUUUAGCUUCGAUUUAAUCUUUUUACGCGACAAUGAACGUGUUAAACAACAAACAUAUUUACUAACACCAGAGUAAUGAUUUUUGUAUGUUUCAAAAUCGCGUAAAAUAAACCAAAUCAUCAUUAAUUAUCAUUUUUAUAUUUGUUUUCAAAAACUACGGUUUCAUAACAGAAAUUUAAUUGUUUACAUACCCAUAUCAAAUAUAUAAUUUAUUAAGAAAAUUUCAUGAAAAUGACAAAAAAAUUACCUUUAAAUAGAGAUUCAAAAUUGCCAAAUGUAGAAUGGUGGGUGAAGAGAAUUAUGGCGAAGGGGGAAGAAUGUUUAGAUAGUGGAAUCCUUGUUGAAUUGUUGAUGAAUAUAUCAAAUUGGAAGGUUAAUAUAGAUAAUAGGUAAGAUGUCAAUUGUAUUACAAAGAAAAGAAUAGGCCAUGAGAAGAAAUACAUGGUAUAAAUAGUAAGAUUAUUAAGGAGUAGUGAGAUUAAAAUGUUUGCCAUUAAGGCAUUUUAGUUACCUGUCCAUUAUUUUUGCCUUUUUGGGGACUCCAAUCCCAUAAUAAAAUUUAUUUUAUUAUAAUUCACAAAUAAAGCGACUUUUCAAUCUCUAUAAAGAGUGUGUUCCAUUCUCUGCUUCUUCUCUCAUGCAACUCGUCUUCUGUUUGGAUCUUGAGAGAAUCUUACGUAAAUCCUAAGUUAGUUGCUCUCACCACUUGCAGAUUUGUACUCAAAAUCUGAUUUUUUUUUUCUAUCUCUCACCCUCCAUCCUCCUUUUCUAUUUUGUUCGAUUGGUUUCUUUUAUCUUGUUGUUGAAAUCUGAGUGUAACUUUUUGGGUGGUUAUGGUUUUCCUCCUGCAUACAUUUCAUGACAAAUUAUUACAUAAAAAUUUGAAACUUUUGUACUGUAUGCUGCAAACCCUAAUCUUUACCCAUUACCUGCAUGGUAGCUUCUUAGCUAUUUACUCUUUCUUCUUCUCUUUGUGAUUCUUGUUUGAUAUGAUAUGUCUGAACACUGAGCUUGUAAUUUUCAUGGAGAUGUCUUAACUUGGAAUGAUGUCUGAACUUUUAAUUGUCUGAACAUGGAGAUGUCUGAACUUGGAAUGAGCUAGCACUCUUUCGUGUUUUAGGCUAAGCAAUAACAUAUUUCCUUUUUAUUUGUUCAGGUUGAUUUCCUGAUAUUCACUCAACCACAACUGUUUCAGAUGUCUGAAAACAUGGAGAAAUCUCCGGAGCUGUCAUCACUUCCAGAGGACGUUAUCGUUGAGAUCGUAGCUCGUGUACCCAUAAGCCAUUACCCGACUCUCAACCGCGUUUCAAAGAGUUUCAGGAAACUCAUUGCCUCUCCUACUCUCUACGAGAGGCGAUCCCAGCUAGGCUACAAAGAACACCGUGUCUAUGCUGUCCUCCACAACCCCAAUACUCAUGUUGAUUUCGGUUUCUACAUUCUCCACCGGAAAGUCGGCUGCGGUAACCGCUUGGUCAUCGCCGAAUCACUUCCUCUCGUGUUUUCCCAUGGAAGCUAUGUCUCGGUUGGUUCGAAGGUGUACGGGUUUAGCUAUCUAGAUGCGCUCAGCAUUGACUGCACCUCUCACACGGUUCAGCCCAUCUCUGACAUUCCUCAGCCCAUGAUUAAGAAAGUUGUUAAUGUCAUCGACAAGAAGGUUUACCUGAUUGGUGGUUCCUAUUUUCCGGUUGGGUCGUGGGACACGUGGAAGAGUGAAGUCAAGGUGUUUGACACAGAAACACAAUCAUGGGAGCCUAAGUU
rnacentral:lncRNA from 1 species